UACGAGUGCUCCAAGCGUUAUCCGGAAUCAUUGGGCGUAAAGGGUGUGUAGGUGGUUGUGUUAGUCUUUUGUUAAAUUCUUCGGCUUAACCGGGGGCAUGCGAAGGAAACGGCACAACUAGAGGAUGCGAGAGGUGAACGGAACUCAUGGAGUAGGGGUGAAAUCCGUUGAUAUCAUGGGGAACACCAAAUGCGAAGGCAGUUCACUGGCGCACUCCUGACACUGAGACACGAAAGCGUAGGUAGCGAAUGGG
rnacentral:rRNA from 1 species